GACGUCCCUCAGGCUCAGGGCUCGGGGGAAUUUCCUGAGUGACAUCACUAGAGCUAUAAGAGUCUGAGUCGGUCGUGUUCAGGUGUUCAGAUUUCAGCUCGACUCUCAGGAAUCUCAUAAUGCCUCACCUUUCAUGGAGCGAUCAGGAAGAGGUGGAUGGAGGAGGCUCUCGCUCCAACCCUGAGAGAUUUUUGGGGCAAAAUUACGAAGAGCUGCAGAGAGAUUUUGUCAAACACAGAGCAAGAUUCAUCGACGAUAAAUUUCCCCCGAAUGCGAGCUCAAUCGGCGAGGGCCUGCUGACCAGCAGUGAGCUAGAGCAAGUGGAGUGGAUACGACCGACGAAACUUGUGGCUGAUCCUCAGCUUGUUGUAGACGGAGAGUCGAGGUUUGACCUCGCCCAGGGGGAGCUCGGAAACUGCUGGUUUCUGGCUGCAAUCUGUGCCAUCACGUUUCAGCAGGACCUCGUGGAUGAGAUAAUCCCGGGAGGUCAGUCGUUCAGAGAGGAUUACGUCGGGAUAUUUCAUUUCAGGUUCUGGAGGUUUGGGAGGUGGGUGGAUGUCGUGAUCGAUGAUAAAUUACCCACGAUUGAUGGACGGCUGAUCUUCGUUCACUGCAAAACCUGUAAUGAGUUCUGGCCUGCGCUGCUGGAGAAAGCCUACGCCAAAGUGUGUGGCUCGUAUGCGGAUCUCAACGGAGGCCUGAUAUCCGAGGCUCUGUGUGAUUUCACUGGAGGAGUCUUUUUAUCACUCGCACUGAAGGAGAACCACCCGGAGCACUGGAACCUCAUGUACCGAGCCAAGAAGUACAAAUCUCUCAUGGGCUGUGGAUCACACCAUGGGGCCACUUCUGCGAACACAGCGCUUCCUAACGGUAUAGUGGAGGGUCACGCCUACACCGUCACUGGAGUCACGCAGGUGAUGAGUGAUGGGCAACCAAUUAAACUGGUGCGUCUCCUGAAUCCAUGGGGACACAAAGAGUGGAACGGCGACUGGAGCGACAGGUCACCCCUGUGGGGAUCAGUCCACAAGGAGGAACGCACAAGGCUGUUGGACAGUAAAGACAAUGGAGAGUUCUGGAUGUCAAUAAAAGAUUUCUGCAUCUCUUUCGCUAAUGUGGAAAUCUGCUGCCUGAGCCCGGCCUUCCUCGAUGGAUCGUCACCAGAAAGCUGGAUCACGGCAAGAUAUGAAGGCCAGUGGGACGAGAAGACAGGUGGGGGAUCAAUGGAGCGGACACAGAGUUUCUGGACGAACCCUCAGUACCGGGUGAAGAUUCCUGCGAUAGAGACGCACGACGGUGAUGGACAGGGCUUUAACCUGCUGGUGUCUCUCAUGCAGAAACCCAACAACAGACACAGACGCCACGUUCACAACGAACACAUCGGGUUCAGCGUGUUUGUGAUCCCCCCUGAGGUAUGUGACACUUUUUUUUUCUUUUUUAAACAUCUCAAAGCACUUCCCACUUUAUCCAGCUUCCACUGCGUACACUGUAUGUACAGAAGUCUCUGACCACACGAAGGAUGAAAACAUUUCAGAUCUAACAUUAUCUUUGGGAUCUCCUCUCUCUCUUGCAGCUGAAGGCCCAAAAAGUUUUCCCUGCCCAGUUUUUCAGCUCCAGCGCUCCAGUGGCUCGGUCCAAGGGCGUAUCAGACAGCAGGCAGGUGGAGGAGUUUCUGAGACUCAAACCUGGCUACUACCUCAUCGUCCCGUUCACCUACAAACCCAACACCCCCGCCUCCUUCCUCAUCACGCUGUACUCCAAGAUUAAACCCAACUGAAGAUGUGAUGCUGAAAACAGUCAUGAAGCAUGAAGGACCACACCUUACUUCUCUGGCUUUAUGUUUGUGAUUU